GAGGGUACAGCUCAAGUGGUAGAGUGCAUGCGUAGCAUGCGUGAGGUCCUGGGUUCAAUCCCCAGUACCUCCU
rfam:Camelus ferus unplaced genomic scaffold scaffold682, whole genome shotgun sequence.